rfam:Ophiocordyceps sinensis CO18 unplaced genomic scaffold OCS_Scf_85, whole genome shotgun sequence.
GGCCGUGUGGCGCAAUGGCACCGCGUCUGACUACGAAUCAGAAGAUUGCAGGUUCGACCCCUGCCUCGGUCA